GGGCGUGUAGCUCAGUGGUAGAGCAGCGCCUUUACACGGCGCUGGUCGGCGGUUCGAACCCGUCCACGCCCA
rnacentral:tRNA from 5 species